rnacentral:rRNA from 1 species
GACGAACGCUGGCGGCGUGCUUAACACAUGCAAGUCGAGCGAUGAAGUUCCUUCGGGAACGGAUUAGCGGCGGACGGGUGAGUAACACGUGGGUAACCUGCCUCAUAGAGGGGAAUAGCCUUCCGAAAGGAAGAUUAAUACCGCAUAAGAUUGUAGUACCGCAUGGUACAGCAAUUAAAGGAGCAAUCCGCUAUGAGAUGGACCCGCGUCGCAUUAGCUAGUUGGUGAGGUAACGGCUCACCAAGGCGACGAUGCGUAGCCGACCUGAGAGGGUGAUCGGCCACGGUGGGACUGAGAAACGGCCCAGACUCCUACGGGCGGCAGCAGUGGGGAAUAUUGCACAAUGGGUGAAACCCUGAUGCAGCAACGCCGCGUGAGUGAUGACGGUCUUCGGAUUGUAAAACUCUGUCUUCAGGGACGAUAAUGACGGUACCUGAGGAGGAAGCCACGGCUAACUACGUGCCAGCAGCCGCCGUAACAC